rnacentral:rRNA from 1 species
CCUACGGGUGGCAGCAGUGAGGAAUAUUGGUCAAUGGUCGGAAGCCUGAACCAGCCAAGUAGCGUGCGGGAUGAAGGCCCUACGGGUCGUCAACCGCUUUUGCACGGGGAUAACACCCUCCACUUGUGGACGUCUGCAGGUACCGUGCGAAUAAGGGCCGGCUAAUUCCGUGCCAGCAGCCGCGGUAAUACGGAAGGCCCGAGCGUUAUCCGGAUUCAUUGGGCUUAAAGGGUGCGUAGGCGGGUUGUUAAGUCAGGUGUGAAAGUUUGCGGCUCAACCGUAAAAUUGAAGUUGAUACUGGCAUGCUUGAGUAUAGAAGAGGUAGGCGGAAUGCGUGGUGUAGCGGUGAAAUGCGUAGAUAUCACGAAGAACUCCGAUUGCGAAGGCAGCCUGCUGGACUGUAACUGACGCUGAUGCUCGAAAGUGUGGGUAUCAAACAGGAUUAGAUACCCCAGUAGUC